UACGUAGGGGGCAAGCGUUAUCCGGAUUUACUGGGUGUAAAGGGAGCGUAGACGGCUAAUCAAGUCAGAAGUGAAAACCCAGGGCUCAACCUUGGGACUGCUUUUGAAACUGGGGAUCUAGAGUGUGCGAGAGGUAUGCGGAAUGCGUGGUGUAGCGGUGAAAUGCAUAGAUAUCACGCAGAACCCCGAUUGCGAAGGCAGCAUACCGGUGCACAACUGACGCUCAGGCCCGAAAGCGUGGGUAUCGAACAGG
rnacentral:rRNA from 1 species